rnacentral:rRNA from 1 species
CCCUUAGAUGCUCUGGGCCGCACGCGCGCUACACUGGUCGAUGCAACGAGUUUCUUUCCUUGGCCGACAGGCCUGGGCAAUCUUUGAACAUCGAUCGUGAUCGGGAUAGAUUCUUGUAAUUUUUGAUCUUAAACGAGGAAUUCCUAGUAAACGCAAGUCAUCAGCUUGCAUUGAUUACGUCCCUGCCCUUUGUACACCCCGCCCGUCGCACCUACCGAUUGAAUGGUCCGGUGAAAUCUCCGGACUGGCGUGAGUCGGAGCAAUCUGACAAACACCGGAAAGUUGAUUAAACCUUACCAUUUAGAGGAAGGUGAAGUCGUAACA